UACGAAGGGGGGCUAGCGUUGCUCGGAAUCACUGGGCGUAAAGAGCGCGCAGGCGGUCGUUCAAGUCGCGUGUGAAAGCCCCCGGCUCAACUGGGGAGGGUCACGCGAUACUGAUCGACUCGAAGGCAGGAGAGGGUAGUGGAAUUCCCGGUGUAGUGGUGAAAUGCGUAGAUAUCGGGAGGAACACCAGUGGCGAAGGCGACUACCUGGCCUGUUCUUGACGCUGAGGCGCGAAAGCUAGGGGAGCAAACGGG
rnacentral:rRNA from 1 species